GCGGGGUUGUGGCCGUGUUGGACGGUAGAACGUUCAAGUUCCUGUCGAGCCAGGUGGACCGGGGGCUUGGACGUUUUCGGGGCGCAUUACGUCUUUCCAAGCUGGCUGUGCGGGUUCGAUUCCCGUCACCCGCUCCA
rnacentral:tRNA from 1 species